AAUAUUGGACAAUGGGCGAAAGCCUGAUCCAGCCAUGCCGCGUGUGUGAAGAAGGUCUUCGGAUUGUAAAGCACUUUAAGUUGGGAGGAAGGGGUUGAAGCUAAUACCUUCAAUCUUUGACGUUACCAACAGAAUAAGCACCGGCUAACUUCGUGCCAGCAGCCGCGGUAAUACGAAGGGUGCAAGCGUUAAUCGGAAUUCCUGGGCGUAAAGCGCGCGUAGGUGGUUUGAUAAGUUGGAUGUGAAAGCCCCGGGCUCAACCUGGGAAUUGCAUCCAAAACUGUCUGACUAGAGUAUGGCAGAGGGUGGUGGAAUUUCCUGUGUAGCGGUGAAAUGCGUAGAUAUAGGAAGGAACAUCAGUGGCGAAGGCGACUACCUGGACUGAUACUGGCACUGAGGUGCGAAAGCGUGGGGAGCAAACAGG
rnacentral:rRNA from 1 species